rnacentral:rRNA from 1 species
CCUACGGGAGGCAGCAGUAGGGAAUCUUCGGCAAUGGGGGCAACCCUGACCGAGCAACGCCGCGUGAGUGAAGAAGGUUUUCGGAUCGUAAAGCUCUGUUGUAAGUCAAGAACGGGUGUGAGAGUGGAAAGUUCACACUGUGACGGUAGCUUACCAGAAAGGGACGGCUAACUACGUGCCAGCAGCCGCGGUAAUACGUAGGUCCCGAGCGUUGUCCGGAUUUAUUGGGCGUAAAGCGAGCGCAGGCGGUUUGAUAAGUCUGAAGUUAAAGGCUGUGGCUCAACCAUAGUUCGCUUUGGAAACUGUCAAACUUGAGUGCAGAAGGGGAGAGUGGAAUUCCAUGUGUAGCGGUGAAAUGCGUAGAUAUAUGGAGGAACACCGGUGGCGAAAGCGGCUCUCUGGUCUGUAACUGACGCUGAGGCUCGAAAGCGUGGGGAGCGAACAGGAUUAGAUACCCUGGUAGUCCACGCCGUAAACGAUGAGUGCUAGGUGUUGGAUCCUUUCCGGGAUUCAGUGCCGCAGCUAACGCAUUAAGCGCUCCGCCUGGGGAGUACGACCGCAAGGUUGAAACUUAAAUGAAUUGACGG